rnacentral:rRNA from 1 species
AUGUCUGGUCGUCAGUAUACCUGGGCCAAUAACCGAUCGGUGCCAACCUUCGAAAAACUAGACCGGGUGCUAGUUACCACUGAUUGGGAAUAUAAAUAUCCCCUAGCCUCGGUUCGGGCACUGGAAAGAAUUGAAGCCUUAUCGGAUCACGCUCCGUUGCUAACCGAUUUUGGACAAGCAAUCCCAUGUUCUAACCGUCAUCAGUUUAAAUUUGAACUGGGAUGGCUCACUAGAGAGGGAUUUCAUGAGCUGGUUAAGAAGGUGUGGGCGCGCCAGCCUCGCGGUAACACACCCAUUCAAUGA